rnacentral:rRNA from 1 species
GAUGAACGCUGGCGGCGUGCCUAAUACAUGCAAGUCGAGCGAACAGACGAGGAGCUUGCUCCUUUGACGUUAGCGGCGGACGGGUGAGUAACACGUAGGUAACCUACCUAUAAGACUGGGAUAACUUCGGGAAACCGGAGCUAAUACCGGAUAAUAUUUCGAACCGCAUGGUUCGAUAGUGAAAGAUGGCUUUGCUAUCACUUAUAGAUGGACCUGCGCCGUAUUAGCUAGUUGGUAAGGUAACGGCUUACCAAGGCAACGAUACGUAGCCGACCUGAGAGGGUGAUCGGCCACACUGGAACUGAGACACGGUCCAGACUCCUACGGGAGGCAGCAGUAGGGAAUCUUCCGCAAUGGGCGAAAGCCUGACGGAGCAACGCCGCGUGAGUGAUGAAGGUCUUCGGAUCGUAAAACUCUGUUAUUAGUGAAGAACAAACGUGUAAGUAACUGUGCACGUCUUGACGGUACCUAAUCAGAAAGCCACGGCUAACUACGUG